GCCUUGGUAGUCUCAGAGGGUUCGAUUCUGGCUCAGGAUGAACGCUGGCGGCGUGCUUAACACAUGCAAGUCGAACGGAGUUUUUAACGGAAGUUUCGGAUGGAAGUUUAGAAACUUAGUGGCGGACGGGUGAGUAACGCGUGGGUAACCUGCCUCAUACAGGGGGAUAACAGUUAGAAAUGACUGCUAACACCGCAUAAUAUAGCGAAACCGCAUGAUUUUGCUAUCAAAUAUUUAUAGGUAUGAGAUGGGCCCGCGUCUGAUUAGCUAGUUGGUGGGGUAAAAGCCUACCAAGGCGACGAUCAGUAGCCGGCUUGAGAGAGUGACCGGCCACAUUGGGACUGAGACACGGCCCAAACUCCUACGGGAGGCAGCAGUGGGGAAUAUUGGACAAUGGGGGAAACCCUGAUCCAGCGACGCCCGCGUGAGUGAAGAAGUAUUUCGGUAUGUAAAGCUCUAUCAGCAGGGAAGAUAAUGACAGUACCUGACUAAGAAGCCCCGGCUAACUACGUGCCAGCAGCAGC
rnacentral:rRNA from 1 species